AAUCCAAGAAUUUCACCUCCAACGACACAAUACGAAUGCCCCCGUCUGUCCCUCUUAAUCAUUACCUCGAACUCUGAAAACCAACAAAAUAGAACCGAGGUCCUAUUCCAUUAUUCCAUGCACCACUAUUCAGGCUGUGCGAACACUUUUAUACGCCUGCUUUGAGCACUCUAAUUUUUUCAAAGUAAAAGCACCGAACGCAUAGCACUCGCACUUAAGAGAAUGAUAUACGGUCCGGCAUUUGGUAUCGGCGACCAACGUAUGCCUGGCAUGAAGCCAAAACACGCGCCGGCACGUCAUACGACCACGAAGGACGACGACGCAUAUAACGAGAACACGCUACGCAUAACGCAACGGCUCGCCCGCCGACAACCCAGAUCCAACUACGAGCUUUUUAACC
rnacentral:misc_RNA from 1 species